rnacentral:misc_RNA from 1 species
CCGAGUUUACAACUCCCAAACCCACUGUGGACCUUACCUAUCGUUGCUUCGGCGGGCGGCCGCGCGCUGCCUGCCGGGGGCCCGAGACUCUCUAUUUUAAUGAUGUUUCUCUCUGAGUGGCAUAAGAAAUGAAAUCA